AACGUUUUCAGACCAAUCCAGUCCUCAGUAUAUAGCUUUGUCUGUUAGGAAGAACGUUUGAGUUAAGAAGCCAAUAUUGGGGUUGUCCGAUGAUCAGGUUAAGAAACUUAAUUCGAGAGAUGAUGAUGAUGAUAAGGUUCACCUUUCGAGGAGGCAGAAUAGUUGUGUUAUCUCCAUCCGGGAUCAUUGGUCUCAGAAUGAGAGGUACCAUGAUGAGGACCAAGUUGUGCAAGCUGGUGAAACGUUCUUUGUAAGUGGAGUUCUUCUCGCCAGGUCUCUCGUUGUUGAGCUUUGGCAAAUACUUGGAGUGUUCCAAAUACUCUGUUAUUUUCUGUAAACCAUAUAACAUUUUUUCCAUUGAAGUAUUUCAUAACAAAUGGAAAUGAUUUGAGGAUUAGAAGGAUAA